ACACUCCUGCGGGAGGCAGCAGUGGGGAAUUUUGGACAAUGGGCGAAAGCCUGAUCCAGCAAUGCCGCGUGAGUGAAGAAGGCCUUCGGGUUGUAAAGCUCUUUUGUCAGGGAAGAAACGGUGAGAGCUAAUAUCUCUUGCUAAUGACGGUACCUGAAGAAUAAGCACCGGCUAACUACGUGCCAGCAGCCGCGGUAAUACGUAGGGUGCAAGCGUUAAUCGGAAUUACUGGGCGUAAAGCGUGCGCAGGCGGUUUUGUAAGUCUGAUGUGAAAUCCCCGGGCUCAACCUGGGAAUUGCAUUGGAGACUGCAAGGCUAGAAUCUGGCAGAGGGGGGUAGAAUUCCACGUGUAGCAGUGAAAUGCGUAGAUAUGUGGAGGAACACCGAUGGCGAAGGCAGCCCCCUGGGUCAAGAUUGACGCUCAUGCACGAAAGCGUGGGGAGCAAACAGGAUUAGAUACCCGUGUAGUCCC
rnacentral:rRNA from 1 species